rnacentral:rRNA from 1 species
UACGUAGGGACCAAGCGUUGUUCGGAUUUACUGGGCGUAAAGGGUGCGUAGGCGGCUUGUCAAGUCAGUUGUGAAAUCUCCGAGCUUAACUCGGAACGGUCAACUGAUACUGUCAUGCUAGAGUGCAGAAGGGGCAAUCGGAAUUCUUGGUGUAGCGGUGAAAUGCGUAGAUAUCAAGAGGAACACCUGAGGUGAAGACGGGUUGCUGGGCUGACACUGGCGCUGAAGCACGAAAGCUAGGGUAGCAAACGGG